rnacentral:tRNA from 1 species
AAGGCUUUAGCUUAAUUAAAGCAUCUGGCUUGCAUUCAGAAGAUACAGGUUAAUACCCUGUUAGUCUUA